GGGGGCGAAUCGGUUUUCGACGGGGGUGUGAAGCCCAGGUUGCGUGUCCGGGGCCCUGCUACCCGGUUAAAAAUUGUGGGGAUUUUACAAACGCCAACGACAACGCGUUUGCCCUCGCCGCCUAAUUAGGUAGGUGAGGCGGUCGAACCGGAGCCUGCUCACGGCGCCGGGGAGAUUGUUAUAUAAAUGUGAGCUGGUCUGUGCCGGUACCUCGACGGCGUCGGACGAGAUUUUCGAGGUCCGGCCCGAAGGAUCCUGCCCGUGGGAGCCUUCGGUGCUCAAAUAAAUCACGGAUUCUACGCACGUAGACGCCUGUGUUGCGGAGCAUUUUCGGACCGGGGUUCGACUCCCCGCGCCUCCACCA
rnacentral:tmRNA from 1 species